AGGAAGCAAAAUAAAUCAAGGUUUACAGAUGCUCAAAAAGAAUACAAAAGAAAAAAGGUUGAUAUGGCGCAGAGUCGUAAGGAACGGCAAGAACAGAAAGAAAAAAGAAUCAAAGAACUACAACAGAGCGUAGAAAGAAGACGACAAACUUAUCACCAGUUAAGCAAACGUACACGACGAGGACAACCUGUUAUGUCUAAUCAAAUCAAUCACAUAUUAUCAAAGCUCCAGUCUAAUAGUUAGUUAGUAAUAAAUUAUUAGAAAAUAUUAA